UACAGCCGUUGGAAUUAGAAGAACCCAAAUCGUCGUCCUGUACUGUCAUACUGCCGAACCAAGAGUACUGUUCUCCUCUCAUCGAGCUCUGAGGAUCCGGUAUGUUUUUGGGUUGGAGAUAAGAGUAGGCAGCUUGCUUCACCAGUCUGUUUCUGAUGGGCAUGUCUUCCAGGUAAUGGUAGUAACGUGAGGUCGAGGGUGAAGUCGCCGCCCACUUGGGUGAUUUGUUAUUGAUGCUGGGGGUGUCCAUCAUAUCCUUGAGGCUCGUGUAAUUGCUUCCCUGAGUGUCGAGAAUUAAAUUUUCAACGCUUAGGGAAUCUGGUUUGAAAAUUGUUUGGUUCUCCGAUGUUGAUGACAUGGGCAUCGACGCAGGCUGUUGCUCUGUUGGUUUUUCGUCUUCGCUUGCUGUAGUAGUAGAAUUAGAUGUCGACGAUGACGAUGAUUUCCUUUCUUCCUCAUCAUCUUCUUCCUCUUCCGUCAUGAUUGAUGAUUUGAGAGAAAAAAAUACAAAUACGAAUAGAAUAUAGUCAAAAUUUCUUUUCGGAUAAUAGACCAAAUACUGUGAUCACUUGCGUCUAAAUCAGAGUCAUCGGCCAUACCAUACAUAUCUAUUAUUUUAUUUAGUUGAUGGAUUGAAUUAUUUCUUAUUUUAACGAAUAAUUGAAACUGUCAAAGUCCUAAGAUGUAGCUAGGGUGUCAAGUAAAGUUCGUCUCGAUGGACUCGGCUCGUUAAGCUCGGACUCGCGAGCCCAACGAGUCGACCCUGAGUCUAAAAUUCAAGCUCGUUAAGAUUUGUUUAGCAUGCGAGAGGUCACGGGUUCGAUCCCUCAUACCUUUAAAUUAUUUAUUUUAACCUGCAGGUUAAGUUCGAGCCGGAGUCUGGCUAUUCUUAAAACGAGCCGAGCCCGAGCCUGACUCUAUAAGCAAAAGUUCGG
rnacentral:lncRNA from 1 species